rnacentral:lncRNA from 1 species
CAGAGGGAGAGGAUGCUGUUUGCCUGAACGUUCCCUUCAGUGUGCAGCAGGUCUAAAGAUGUGACAACCACUUUGGUAUGUCCUCUGCCAUUCUGUGUGACACAGACCACUUGGGAAUUUGCAACCCUGACGAAUUGCCCCUUACAAGAUUCCUGCAGGAAGCACACAGAAGAACAAAACUUUGGAUUAUGCCUGUGAUGGGAAAAGCUGCAGCGAUGACUGACUGGAAAGGCUGAUCCUUCUCACACCAAAUACCACUGCCUUGCCACCAGAUGGAGGCAACACGUUCAGCUGCAAAACCAAAAGCAGGACCCAGCAGGUCCCGACCUGCGGCGACAGGGGCGGCUCUGCCCGGCCCCUCUGGAGCCUCAGCCUGGGACUGAACCCCCAACUUCAGCUUCUCCACUUCAAACUCCUGGAAAGAUGGGAAGCCCUUGAGCCCUUGAAGGCUGUGAGCCACUUGACCACUGCUCUUCACUGGAUAAACCACUCCUGCUUGUUUAUCUUUCCUGCUUUUUCAUACUCUGGACUAUCAAUAAGGUAAGAAAGUGCUUCUCAGGCUGCACCAACACUGUCAUGUGUGCUGAGCUCCUGAUGCACAGGCAGAAAUCAU